rnacentral:rRNA from 1 species
GGGGAAUAUUGGACAAUGGGCGAAAGCCUGAUCCAGCCAUGCCGCGUGUGUGAAGAAGGUCUUCGGAUUGUAAAGCACUUUAAGUUGGGAGGAAGGGCAUUAACCUAAUACGUUAGUGCUUUGACGUUACCGAGAGAAUAAGCACCGGCUAACUCUGUGCCAGCAGCCGCGGUAAUACAGAGGGUGCAAGCGUUAAUCGGAAUUACUGGGCGUAAAGCGCGCGUAGGUGGUUUGUUAAGUUGAAUGUGAAAUCCCCGGGCUCAACCUGGGAACUGCAUCCAAAACUGGCAAGCUAGAGUAUGGUAGAGGGUAGUGGAAUUUCCUGUGUAGCGGUGAAAUGCGUAGAUAUAGGAAGGAACACCAGUGGCGAAGGCGACUACCUGGACUGAUACUGACACUGAGGUGCGAAAGCGUGGGGAGCAAACA